GGUCAAGUGAAUAAGGGCAUACGGUGGAUGCCUUGGCAGAGACAGGCGAUGAAGGACGUGGAUACCUGCGAAAAGCCUC
rnacentral:rRNA from 1 species